rnacentral:rRNA from 1 species
GAUGAACGCUGGCGGCGUGCUUAACACAUGCAAGUCGAACGGAAAGGCUCCUGCUUGCAGGGGUACUCGAGUGGCGAACGGGUGAGUAACACGUGGGUGAUCUGACCUGCACUUCGGGAUAAGCCUGGGAAACUGGGUCUAAUACCGGAUAGGACGAUGGUUUGGAUGCCAUUGUGGAAAGUUUUUUCGGUGUGGGAUGAGCUCGCGGCCUAUCAGCUUGUUGGUGGGGUAAUGGCCUACCAAGGCGUCGACGGGUAGCCGGCCUGAGAGGGUGUACGGCCACAUUGGGACUGAGAUACGGCCCAGACUCCUACGGGAGGCAGCAGUGGGGAAUAUUGCACAAUGGGCGCAAGCCUGAUGCAGCGACGCCGCGUGGGGGAUGACGGCCUUCGGGUUGUAAACUCCUUUCGCUAGGGACGAAGCGCAAGUGACGGUACCUGGAGAAGAAGCACCGGCUAACUACGUG